rnacentral:rRNA from 1 species
AUUCGGAGGGUGCGAGCGUUGUUCGGAAUUAUUGGGCGUAAAGAGCAUGUAGGCGGUCUGUUAAGUCUGGUGUGAAAGCCCGGGGCUCAACCCCGGAAGUGCAUUGGAUACUGGCAGACUUGAGUAUGGGAGAGGAAAGCGGAAUUCCGAGUGUAGGAGUGAAAUCCGUAGAUAUUCGGAGGAACACCAGUGGCGAAGGCGGCUUUCUGGACCAAUACUGACGCUGAGAUGCGAAAGCGUGGGGAGCGAACAGGAUUAGAAACCCCGGUAGUCC